GGGCGGCUAGCUCAGCUGGGAGAGCGCAGCCCUUACAAGGCUGAGGUUGCAGGUUCGAGCCCUGCGCCGCCCACCA
rnacentral:tRNA from 1 species